rfam:Aedes aegypti strain Liverpool supercont1.177 genomic scaffold, whole genome shotgun sequence.
GGCUCGGUAGCUUAGUUGGUAAAUCGCUCGUCUAGCAAGAGUCCUGGGUUCAAAUCCCAGCCGAGCAC